rnacentral:rRNA from 1 species
ACCAGACUCCUACGGGAGGCAGCAGUGGGGGAUAUUGCACAAUGGGGGGAACCCUGAUGCAGCGACGCCGCGUGAAGGAAGAAGUAUCUCGGUAUGUAAACUUCUCUCAGCAGGGAAGAAAAUGACGGUACCUGACUAAGAAGCCCCGGCUAACUACGUGCCAGCAGCCGCGGUAAUACGUAGGGGGCAAGCGUUAUCCGGAUUUACUGGGUGUAAAGGGAGCGUAGGCGGCAGUGCAAGUCAGAAGUGAAAGCCCGGGGCUCAACUCCGGGACUGCAUUGGAAACUGUCAGGCUAGAGUGUCGGAGAGGCAAGUGGAAUUCCUAGUGUAGCGGUGAAAUGCGUAGAUAUUAGGAGGAACACCAGUGGCGAAGGCGGCUUGCUGGACGAUGACUGACGUUGAGGCUCGAAAGCGUGGGGAGCAAACAGGAUUAGAUCCCCGAGUA